GUCUACGGCCAUACCACCCUGAACGUGCCCGAUCUCGUCUGAUCUCGGAAGCUAAGCAGGGUCGGGCCUGGUUAGUACUUGGAUGGGAGAAAAUGUGGUACAUAUACACC
rnacentral:rRNA from 1 species